rnacentral:misc_RNA from 1 species
GUACCUUCAAGCUCUGCUUGGUGUUGGGUGUUUGUCCCGCUUUGUGCGUGGACUCGCCUUAAAGCAAUUGGCAGCCGGCGUACUAGUCUGGAGCGCAGCACAAUUUGCGCCUCUGAACCUGAACGCUUGCGUCCAUGAAGUCUAUACUUUUGC